AGACAUACCAUUUAAAGAGGCGCCACCAAGGUAUAGUUGACGGAGACUUGUGAUGUUCAAGAUUUGUCUUGGAAAUGGUCCACUAAGAUUGUUGGAACUCAUGACUAAUAUCUCUAGAUUAUUAAGAUUACCAAUCUCUUUCGGAAUACCACCUGUGAAAUUGUGUCAAAUCAUGAUAACUAUUUUUGAAUCGGGUGUAGUAAUAAUAUGUUACAAAUAGUAUGAACUACAAAUUAAAUCAUAAGUAUUAGAAAAAUAGUUAGUGAUGUGUUUUUCCUAAUUAUAUGAAAGUGAAUAUAUCAUAUGGGAUAAAUUGUAAACAAUUCCAUUUAGAUCGAUGCAAACUGUGUCAAGAAUAGAGAGAGAGAGAGAAAUAAUAAUAAUAAUAAUAAUAAUAAUAAAGUCCACCUGUGAAAUUGAGCCCACCAACAGUAAUGCAUGAGCAAUAUAUCUUGUGAUAUGGGCUAAGUUGUAAACAAUUCGGUUUAGAGUCUACUAAAGUAAUCAUGAGCAAUAGUAUUAAUUAAGUUAAGUGGUCUCUCUGAUAUUUACGAAUUGGUUACAAGUUGUUAAAAUAAAAUUAAAAAGUCAUUUAUUUAAUCAAAGCAUACGGUUAAUUUAUUGCUAAGGUUAAUCCUUUGUUCACUGACAAUCAUAUUAAUGUUAAACUGUAAACUGUAAAUUGUAAAUCGAGUCAAAGCAGUAAUAUACAAUGUUCAAAGAACAGAAAAUAGGACAGAAAAGUGACGAUAAAUAUGAUUAACAAUUGGCUUAUUAGAAAUAACAAUAAAGGUGGUUAAUGCCACAGACCAAAUAUCUCAAUAAAAAAAAUUAGCAGAAAGAGUAAUGACAUACCUGCAGUUAAAGAGAUGUUGCGAAUGUAUAAUUCACGAAGAGUCGUGACAUUCCAAAGUUGUCUUGGUAAUCGUCCACUGAAUUUGUUGUCGCUUAUGCUCAACACCUGUAAAUAAUUAAGAUAACCAAUCUCUUUCGGUAUAUCACCUGUGAAAUAAUGUCAAGUUAAAAAAUUAUGUUUGAUUAUAAAGUAUAUUAGUGGUAUACCACUUCAAAUUGCUCCCCUAUCCAUUGUGGAUAGUUGCAAAUGCAGAAAAAGGAGUUGGAAUAAUCCGAAUUCCAUACACAGAUAUACGAAACGAAAAAGAAUAUAAGUAAUAUUUUAGGAGUUGGAAUAAUCCGAAUUCCAUACACAGGGUGAGCUAUUAUGUGAGCUAAUAACAAUAAAGGUGGUUAAUGCCUCAGACCAAAUAUCUCAAUAAAAAAAUAUACGAAAAGAAAAAGAAUAUAAGUAAAAUUUUAGGACUGAAAAAAUACUAUUAUGUGAGCUAAUAUCCCAUUACAAGGGUGGGACUGAAAAAAUUCAAAUAAUGAAAACAAAAAUAUUCAUACGAUCAAUUAUGAAAUGUAAAUUAGCGUUGUCCAACUAUAUGAAAUUAAGUGAAUAUAUGUAUCUCUUGUGAUAUUUUGAGUACUUAACGUGAUCUUUCAAAACUUGUUGAACCUAUAAUGGUUAUUAGAUUUGACAUCAAAAUCCGUUUCUUCUCAAACCCCAAAACGAGAAAAAUGAGUAAUAAUUAUGACUGUUAGAGAUCAUAGUUGUCAUUUAUAUAGAUUUGCUCGUUGAUACCAAACGUGAUACCAGAAGUGAUACCAAGUCUGCUGACGAAUUUUCUUUGGAUAAGCUCAUAUUUUGACGAUUUUAUUUCCUAUUUUAGGGUGAUUUUCGGAGGAAAUCUUUGUGCAUCUUUUGGAUUGGCUUGCAAGUCUUUAUAGAGGAGUCCUUAUCAUUGAAGGAAACUUGGGAUUUCUCAUAUAUAAAUAUCGUCUCUCUCUUGGAGCUAGGGCUCGCUGGUUUUGACAUUCAAUCAAGCAGUUGGUGUGUGGAGCGUGAUUUGCAGCAAGAGAACAUCAUUGGUUUGGUCGUAUGUUCUAUUUCUUGUUACUUUGCUGUUCAUGUUAGUUUGAGCAAAGUAAGUUUCUCGUUCGCGAGUUUCCAGAUCGAUGCUUCGUUGUUCGUUCGCAAGUUUCCAGAUCGAGUUCUACUUGUGAGUGGGAUCUGUUUAUUUGCUUUUCCAUGUGGGUUUGAGUUGUUUGAGUUGUAAGGGAUUAAGUGUGUUCGUCGGGGCUCACACUUAGAGAGUUAGUGUUAUCUAGCUUACAACGGUUUAUCGUGUGUUGGGGUUUUGGGAAAUUAUAGAGGCGUUAGAAAGAUUGAGUCUUUGUGUAAGUCCUGCUGUAAUUUAACCUCACAUAGUGAAUCGUUUUCCCUGGGCGAGGCCCCCCAGACGUAGGUGUUCUAUCACCGAACUGGGUUACCAUAUCGUGUGUUCAAGCUUAUUUCUCUAUUUGUUAUCUGCUGUGAUUUGGUAUCUCAUUUGGUACCAUAUUGGGUUGCUGCGAGAUUUUAUGUGUAUUUGGAUAGGUGGCUGGUAUUACAAUGACAAAAUGGUAAAUCCUAAUCAUCUUUUUUCAUAUGAUGGAUAUAAUGUAAAGAGUAAUGCUAAAUAGCCAAAUUGUGGCCACCCACAAUUCACUUAAAUAGAAAAAAAAUUAAUUUAUUUAACUUAUUUUUUAAAAUAAAAAUAACUAAAUACUCUCAAGUUGUGUACAUUGACCCAAACUCAACGGUAUAUCUCCCUCCAAUUUGUUCGACCACAUGCUAAGUAGUUUGAGUCUUUGAAGGUUGUUAUGCGAGCAAAUGUCUUUUAGUAGGCGGCCUGAUAAAGUAUUAUGGUAUAAAAUACACCCUCCGUAUGCAAAAAUAUAUACCUAAAUAGCUUCGGCACAGAUUUUAAGAAUUUUGUUAAGUGUAUUGUGACCAAAUUUUACAAACUCCAGACCAUAUAAUCUCACAAAUCAACUUAGAUAAUAGCAUUAUACGAAAAAUAAUACUAUAACUUAAUUUAAAUUACAAUUUAAAAUAAUUCCAAGUCGAAAUACUCACUAGCUUUUUAUAUUUGGAGACUAUAAUACAUCAAAUCUAGAUUUAGGUGCAUGCCCGGUUUUGUUGUUAGAUCGAAAUACUCACUAGAUUUUUAAUAUUGUAACUUUAUAAAAGCAAAUAAUAAUAAUAAUAAUUAAAUUUCUUAACUAUAAAAAAAUUAUUGGGGAGCCCUAUGGCAUCUUCUAUAUGGAAAAUUGCUUUUAAUUAUUUUCCUUGGACGUGAUGAUUUUCAAAAAUCGAUUGAAAGGGAAAUAUAAUAUUCAUCUCAUACACGACGGGCAAUAGACUUUGACUUAAGCAUAAAACUAAAUGUGUAUCACGUAUUUUUUUCAAUUCCCAUGGUUAGUUAUGUACGAUAUAUAUACCAAUCUCUUUCACUAAAGUUUUGGCUUAAAGAGUAGUGCAGACAUACCAUUUAAAGAGGCGCCACCAAGGUGUAGUUCACGGAGACUUGUGAUGUUCAAGAUUUGUCUUGGAAAUGGUCCACUAAGAUUGUUGCCACUCAUGUCUAAAGUCUCUAAAUUAUUAAGAUAAACAAUCUCUUUCGGAAUACCACCCGUGAAAUUGUUUCAAAUCAUGAUAACUCGAUUUGAAUCGGGUGUAAUAAUAUGUUACAAAUAGUAUGAACUGCAAAUUAAAUCAUAAGUAUUAGAAAAAUAGUUAGUGAAGUGCUUUUCCUAAUUAAAUGAAAGUGAAUAUAUCAUAUGGGAUAAAUUGUAAACAAUUCCAUUUAGAUCGAUGCAAAUUGAGUCAAUAAGAGAGAGAGAGAAAGAGAUAAUAAUAAUAAUAAUAAUAAUAAUAAUAAUAAUAAUAAUAAUAAUAAUAAUAAUAAUAAAGUCCACCUGUGAAAUUGAGCCCACCAACAGUAAUGCAUGAGCAAUAUAUCUUGUGAUAUGGGCUAAGUUGUAAACAAUUCGGUUUAGAGUCUACUAAAGUAAUCAUGAGCAAUAGUAUUAAUUAAGUGGUCUCUCUGAUAUUUACGAAUGGGUUACAAGUUGUUAAAAUAAAAUUAAAAAGUCAUUUAUUUAAUCAAAGCAUACGGUUAAUUUAUUGCUAAUCCUUUGUUCACUGACAAUCAUAUUAAUGUUAAAUUGUAAACCGAGUCAAAGCAGUAAUAUACAAUGUUCAAAGAACAGAAAAUAGGACAGAAAAGUGACGAUAAAUAUGAUUAACAAUUGGCUUAUUAGAAAUAACAAUAAAGGUGGUUAAUGCCUCAAUAAAAAAAAUUAGCAGAAAGAGUAAUGACAUACCUGCAGUUAAAGAGAUGUUGGCAAUGUAUAAUUCACGAAGAGUCGUGACAUUCCAAAGUUGUCUUGGUAAUCGUCCACUG
rnacentral:lncRNA from 1 species